UUUGAAGUCCAGGAUUAGGGUUUAAAGAUCUAGGGUUCAUGGUUUUAGGUAAGGGUCUGUUUGAUUGUGGGAAUUGAUUUUCCAGAAAUUAUUUUCCAACUAUUCUAGUGUUUGUUUGCCGGAAAACAUUUUCCAUUUGGAAAAUGAACUCCAAAACACGGGAAAAUGCCUUACAUUUUUAGGGAAAAUAUCUUACCUUUUCAAUUUCCGUAAGACAUUUUCAAAGCUCUCAUCUCUAUUGAUUUUCCAAUCUUUCCUCCUUCAUUCCUUCAUUCCUGUUACAAAACUUCCCUGAGAUUAUCGAUUUUCCAGUAAUCCCCCACUCUUCUCCUUCAUUCCUCUCUGUCGAUUAUCGCCGUGGUUUUCUGUGGGUUUGAACUCAUAUUGGAACCUGGACGAACAGAUAUCGCAGCUGCUACAGUGCAAGCCUUUAUCCGAGCAGUAGAUGGUGGAAGACUUGGGAUUUGAUAUGACUAAUGUUGUUGAGGAAGUCAAGGAUGAUGCUGGAAUUGAUUUUAAGGACUACAAGACUGUGCAAACUGCUUGUAUCAAUUUUGGAAAGGAUCGAUUUGAUAUAUUGAGGUCAUUGUCGAGACAGAAUAUUCAAAUUUUGGUUGGUUUUGGAUGCCCGAAUGCUGACAAGAAGGUGGUUUUCUCUGCAAAACUCUUGAGGAAACGUGUCCACCUUGAUGAAGGAGAUGUAAGUACUGAUUCUUUUACUCCUUUGUUGUUUACUAAUAUAUAAUGUUGCUUUAU